ensembl:lncRNA
AUGGACAUUGUAUCCAGCUAUUUCACAGUUCUGGUGGAGAAGGUCUACUCAUUCUUCUGGGGGACAAGCAGCAGUUCAACAGCCAAUCAGAAUCAGACAGAGCCAUCAGAGAGCUGUAAUGAAAGUGACAUCCCAGUCACAAAACCUGCUGAAACAUGGGUGUCUGAGGUCCAGGAGGUUAGCAGUCCUGUACAUACCACUGUAAAUGCACAUUCAGGUCAUUAUGAUCAUCCACACAUCCUGAUACAGAACUCAAACUCAUUCAGUGAUGCUGAUAAAACUGCUGAAGUGGACAAGAUCAACAUCAUUGUGAAAUGUGCUGGGAAAACCACGGAAGUGGACAUGUUUCCCAGGGAAAGCAUCUCAGUUUUACUAAAGGAGGCCUGUGACCGGGCAGGGAAGAAACCAGAGAAAAUGGCAUUGGUUUAUGAAGGAAACUGUCUGGAUGUGAACAAGAAGGUGAGCUGCUAUGGACUACGAGGAGGAACCACCGUAAAUUUGAUUCAUGCCUAGAAUCAUGUUUCUGUUUACAGUAUACCAGUACACUACUGUACAUAAAAUAUUGUUCAAACUCAACUGUAUUAUUAGUAGUUGUAGUAGUUGUUGUAGUGGUUGUAGUAGUAGUCAGUGCUCAUGGGUUAUUGUUAAAAGUAUUGCAUUGCUGUGUACAGUCUCAAAUACAUUGUAAUAUAUAAAAAAUAAAACUGACUUGCAACACUGACUCA